UUAACCUAACGUCACACAUACACCGUCACAUGUGUUCUGGGUGCCCCGCCGAUGAUUUCUAUCAGCAGGGUUGAUCCAUGGGGUGUAUGGAGGCCUAAC
rnacentral:sRNA from 1 species